GCUCUUGUAGCUUAUACAAAGCAUGGCACUGAAGAUGCCAAGAUGGUCGUUAACACACCCAAGAACA
rnacentral:tRNA from 1 species